rnacentral:rRNA from 1 species
UACGUAGGUGGCGAGCGUUGUCCGGAUUUACUGGGCGUAAAGGGAGCGUAGGCGGACUUUUAAGUGAGAUGUGAAAUACUCGGGCUCAACUUGAGUGCUGCAUUUCAAACUGGAAGUCUAGAGUGCAGGAGAGGAGAAUGGAAUUCCUAGUGUAGCGGUGAAAUGCGUAGAUAUUAGGAGGAACACCAGUGGCGAAGGCGGCUUACUGGACUGUAACUGACGUUGAGGCUCGAAAGCGUGGGGAGCAAACAGG